rnacentral:rRNA from 1 species
UCACCAGCCGCGGUAAUACGUAGGGCGCGAGCGUUGCCCGGAUUUAUUGGGCGUAAAGAGCUCGUAGGCGGUUUGUCGCGUCUGCCGUGAAAUUUCCUGGCUUAACUGGGAGCGUGCGGUGGGUACGGGCAGACUGGAGUGCGGUAGGGGAGACUGGAAUUCCUGGUGUAGCGGUGGAAUGCGCAGAUAUCAGGAGGAACACCGGUGGCGAAGGCGGGUCUCUGGGCCGUUACUGACGCUGAGGAGCGAAAGCAUGGGGAGCGAACAGGAUUAGAUACCCUGGUAGUCCAUGCUGUAAACGUUGGGAACUAGGUGUGGGGUCCAUUUCCACGGAUUCUGCGCCGUAGCUAACGCAUUAAGUUCCCCGCCUGGGGAGUACGGCCGCAAGGCUAAAACUCAAAGGAAUUGACGGGGGCCCGCACAAGCGGCGGAGCAUGCGGAUUAAUUCGAUGCAACGCGAAGAACCUUACCAAGGCUUGACAUACAUUCGUAGUUCCCAGAGAUGGGGGUGCCGUAAGGCGGGUGUACAGGUGGUGCAUGGUUGUCGUCAGCUCGUGUCGUGAGAUGUUGGGUUAAGUCCCGCAACGAGCGCAACCCUUGUUCCAUGUUGCCAGCGGGUUAUGCCGGGGACUCAUGGGAGACUGCCGGGGUCAACUCGGAGGAAGGUGGGGAUGACGUCAAAUCAUCAUGCCCCUUAUGUCUUGGGCUUCACGCAUGCUACAAUGGCCGGUACAGAGGGUUGCGAUCUCGUGAGGGUGAGCGAAUCCCGUAAAGCCGGUCUCAGCUCGGAUUGGGGUCUGCAACUCGACCCCAUGAAGUUGGAGUCGCUAGUAAUCGCAGAUCAGCAACGCUGCGGUGAAUACGUUCUCGGGCCUUGUACACACCGCCCGUCACGUCAUGAAAGUCGGUAACACCCGAAGCUCAUGGCCUAACCGUUUUUUGCGGGGGGAGUGGUCGAAGGUGGGACUGGUGAUUGGGACGAAGUCGUAACAAGGUAGCCGU